AUUGAACGCUGGCGGCAGGCCUAACACAUGCAAGUCGAGCGGAUGAAGGGAGCUUGCUCCUGGAUUCAGCGGAGGACGGGUGAGUAAUGCCUAGGAAUCUGCCUGGUAGUGGGGGAUAACGUCCGGAAACGGGCGCUAAUACUGCAUACGUUCUGAGGGAGAAAGUGGGGGAUCUUCGGACCUCACGCUAUCAGAUGAGCCUAGGUCGGAUUAGCUAGUUGGUGGGGUAAAGGCCUACCAAGGCGACGAUCCGUAACUGGUCUGAGAGGAUGAUCAGUCACACUGGAACUGAGACACGGUCCAGACUCCUACGGGAGGCAGCAGUGGGGAAUAUUGGACAAUGGGCGAAAGCCUGAUCCAGCCAUGCCGCGUGUGUGAAGAAGGUCUUCGGAUUGUAAAGCACUUUAAGUUGGGAGGAAGGGCAGUAAGUUAAUACCUUGCUGUUUUGACGUUACCAACAGAAUAAGCACCGGCUAACUUCGUG
rnacentral:rRNA from 1 species